rnacentral:misc_RNA from 1 species
GCUCUGAUGACUGUCAGGUAUUCCAGCUGGUUCAUGCAUAACUUUGCCCGUGCCAUCUGGAAAUUGUGAGCUGCAAUCUGCAGUAGUGCCUUGGUCCACAACAGCCAAGUCAUGCCCCGAGCCAGAGGAAGCAUUCCAAGAACAAUAUCAGCACCUGAAUUAUCAAGAAAAAUCAACGCUCUUUUAUGUGGUUGGGGUUUCUUGUCACCGCAACCAAACAUUCUUUUCUUAAACAGAUCAAAGUCAUCCACCUUCCAAGGACGUUGCAUCUUUUUGCGACUCAUGCGAUACAUAUCAAUGAUUG